AUCAAAGCAAUAUCCUUGAAUUAAAAAUAGGCAGUAGAAGCUGGAUUUUGAGUGAAAUCUGUCAGAGAGGACUCAAAGAAAUUGCGAAGUUGAGCAGGUGGGGUUAUCAUGGAGCUUUCCUCUCCACCUACAGCAGGGGCACAGUGGGCUUCACUGGCUCAGAAGAGCAGCCCAGCAUGCAGCUGUGCCUCCUGAAAGCCGCUGGGAAUAAGGCUUUGCUCACCUGCCUGCACAUAAUGCAGACUGAAAGCACACAACUGCUCUGCUGUGGGACUGACUGAACGACCCAGGGUUUGAUGAAUUGUGAUUCAAUUCAACAGCUCCUGACAAGGUCAGAGGCAGCAUCCUCUGCAGCCACAGAGUGGAAUGCCAUUGCUGUCCCUCUCCCUGCACCAAGUGGAUUAGCAGAUGGAAACAACUCCUAUGUACUUUUAACUGGCAAAGGUGCAGUUGUGAGCCUUCAAGUGAACAGAAUGCCUUAUGCUUAAGACAGUUGUUUAUUUUGGAAAUAAUAUGGGAAGAUUUCAGAGAAGAGAAAGUGAAGUUUCACCUGCCUUGGGAGUGCAUGAGGAGAGGAAUACAAUGUUUUAAUUAAACACAUUUAUAGAACAGAGUCUGGCAGAGCGUAUUUCUCCUGUUGUUGGGAAAACAAUGGCAUUCUCCCCUCUUUUGUUAUACUACCUAGGAAAAUGAAUAAUUUCCUUUAUCCGUUGUUUUAAUAAAAUGUUUAUAUUUUUAUCA
rnacentral:lncRNA from 1 species